rnacentral:rRNA from 1 species
GAUGAACGCUAGCUACAGGCUUAACACAUGCAAGUCGAGGGAAACGAUAGAGAAAGCUUGCUUUUUCUAGGCGUCGACCGGCGCACGGGUGAGUAACGCGUAUCCAACCUGCCCACCACUUGGGGAUAACCUUGCGAAAGUAAGACUAAUACCCAAUGACGUCUCUAGAAGACAUCUGAAAGGGAUUAAAGAUUUAUCGGUGAUGGAUGGGGAUGCGUCUGAUUAGCUUGUUGGCGGGGUAACGGCCCACCAAGGCAACGAUCAGUAGGGGUUCUGAGAGGAAGGUCCCCCCACAUUGGAACUGAGACACGGUCCAAACUCCUACGGGAGGCAGCAGUGAGGAAUAUUGGCAAUGGGCGAGAGCCUGAACCAGCCAAGUAGCGUGCAGGAUGACGGCCCUAUGGGUUGUAAACUGCUUUUAUAAGGGAAUAAAGUGAGCCUCGUGAGGCUUUUUGCAUGUACCUUAUGAAUAAGGACCGGCUAAUUCCGUG